UACGGAUACGACGGGGACGGCGA
rnacentral:sRNA from 1 species